rnacentral:rRNA from 1 species
CGUAGGCGGCCUGUUAAGUCGGCUGUGAAAGCCCGGGGCUCAACCCCGGAGGGUCGGCCGAUACUGGCAGGCUAGAGUACGGAAGAGGUAGCUGGAAUUCCCGGUGUAGCGGUGAAAUGCGUAGAUAUCGGGAGGAACAUCGGAGGCGAAGGCGGGCUACUGGGCCGAUACUGACGCUGAUGCGCGAAAGCCAGGGGAGCGAACG